GACGAACGCUGGCGGCGUGCUUAACACAUGCAAGUCGAACGAUGAUGCUGGAGCUUGCUCCAGUUGAUUAGUGGCGAACGGGUGGGUAACACGUGAGUAACCUGCCCUUGACUCUGGGAUAACUGCGGGAAACUGUAGCUAAUACCGGAUACGACCCUCGGCGGCAUCGCCAGGGGGUGGAAAGAAUUUCGGUCAAGGAUGGACUCGCGGCCUAUCAGCUAGUUGGUGAGGUAACGGCUCACCAAGGCGACGACGGGUAGCCGGCCUGAGAGGGUGACCGGCCACACUGGGACUGAGACACGGCCCAGACUCCUACGGGAGGCAGCAGUGGGGAAUAUUGCACAAUGGGCGCAAGCCUGAUGCAGCAACGCCGCGUGAGGGAUGACAGCCUUCGGGUUGUAAACCUCUUUUAGUAGGGAAGAAGCGAAAGUGACGGUACCUGCAGAAAAAGCACCGGCUAACUACGUGCCAGCCGCCGCCGUAA
rnacentral:rRNA from 1 species